UUUCCUACGGGGGGCAGCAGUGGGGGAUAUUGCACAAUGGGGGGAACCCUGAUGCAGCGACGCCGCGUGGGUGAAGAAGCGCCUCGGCGCGUAAAGCCCUGUCAGCAGGGAAGAAAAUGACGGUACCUGAAGAAGAAGCCCCGGCUAACUACGUGCCAGCAGCCGCGGUAAUACGUAGGGGGCAAGCGUUAUCCGGAUUCACUGGGCGUAAAGGGAGCGCAGGCGGCACGGCAAGUCUGGUGUGAAAGCCCGGGGCCCAACCCCGGGACUGCAUUGGAAACUGCCGGGCUGGAGUGCCGGAGGGG
rnacentral:rRNA from 1 species